UUUAGGUGAGUUUUAAAAUGGUUUGGUACACAUUGUACCGCUUAUGUUCACUUGUGCUGUUAUCUAUAUGUUCGAAUAUACGGUUAAGUUGCUUUUUCAAUUUUACAUUUUGAAAUCAUAAUUUAUAUUCAGUAAAAAUGUGUAACAUGUUGUUAAAUACAAUUUCUGAUAAUUUUCCUUAAACAUUGUCAGAACAGGAUCUAAUUAGAGAAUAUCAUUUUGCUGGCUACACGUACUCCGAUAUUAUUCUUAUUCUCUUCUACCAACAUAACGUAUCUAUAAGGUUUGUAUGUUUGUUUUUCAGACUAUUUGGACAACGCUUUAAAUAUUUGUUUUUUUUACCACAUCAUUGAUUCCCUCUUUAUGAGGAUGUUAUAUCUUUAAUGUAUUUUGAAUGACAGUUGAGAAGACAUGUUUGCGAGAAAAAGCAUUGCAUGUUAUAUAUAGUGAGUUUACAAAGCCACGUUUAUAUUUAUGUAAUAUUAAUUAUAAGCUGUUAUUUCAGCUGUAGACAACUACAUCGGUACUCAGAUCACUAGGUCUUCGUCGUCAGCAUGCGGUAACGGAUGAAGUAGUUCAAGCUAUACAGGAGCAAUGUGUUGACUCUUCAGCGCGAACUGGACCCGGACGGUGUUCGUAGCAGACAGAUGCACCGAAGGGCCGAAUUACCUUAUACAUGUCGAUGGCUAUGACAAACUGAAACGAUUUGGUUUUGCCAUUCACCGUGCAAUAUGCGGGCACAGUUGAUUACAAGAUACUGGUGGGUAAUGAAGACAUCGAAGGAGUGAAAGAACUCUGUACUUCUGUUCAAGUUAAUUCUGAAGUAGUCACUGUAUUAUAACAGGAUAUGGGUGAGAAGAGGCUUAGAAAGCCAUCCACAUAUAGGGAAGCUCUGGAACUGCGGAGAACUAGUUCACUACUGGUACUCAAACAAUCUACAGAUAGCCUACACAAUGGCAUAGUAGAGCAAAAUUUGAGUGUGCUUUUUUCUGUCUCACUAUCAGGUCUACGUACAGAAAGCGUAUAAAGGAUAAUAUUUACAGUAAUCAAAAUAUUUGAAGAGAAAUACUAAUAGGUUUUGAAGGCAAAAGUGAAUUUCAGUUCGAAAUUCUUAUAGUUAGCCUGAACUCAUAUGUAUACCAACAUUUCUUGUAUUUUACAUGCAACUACACUUCUUUAAGAAAAAUAUCGUAAUGUAUACAUUUGUAUAUCCAAUGUAACUUUGGUAAUUAAAGCAACAUGCAUUACCUUGCUGGGAAAAAUCUAGUUCCACUUGAUGUAUUUUGUUUACGAAAUAUAUUCCCGCAUUAACAGAUGUAUUGAUAAUUAUUGAUUUUGAUUUUUGGAAAUAUUUAUAAAACACUGAUAUCCCAUCCGUAUUUCACAUGCAAAAAAAAAGUAAUAAAAAUUUUGCAAAGUAAUUAUAACCUACCUGGCAUCAUGCAAAUGAUUGAAAAAAUGUCAUUAUUACCACAAACAUAAAUGCUCAGGAACCAUGAAAUAUCAAUUUUGAAAAUAUUUGGGUGAUAAAAUUCUUCGGGCAAUUUUAAGGAAAGUCCGAGUUAUUAUUGCGAUAAAAACCAGUUAAGCCUGGUGUCAUCAUAUCUAACAACUAGUAGGAUUGUUAAAGCAUUAUUCGUUUGUGGUAUGUCCAUUUAUAUAUUGAACAUUUCGUUCGCACUAUUUGUGCGAAAGGUGAGUUUAUUCUGUAAUGAGGUACCAUAUUCAAAGUAAAAUGGAGUGAGCUGUUAGAAUUUGAUGAAUUAAAUUCGGUUCUUCGCAGUUUUACAUUGAUGCGAAAAACAUGAACCAUGGUUGUGUACGACAAACAUUCAGCUUCAACAGCCGUUCUUAUUUCUUCACAAUUGGUUUAGUCAAUAAAAGGACAUGUUGCUCAUAGUAGCCUUCACUCAUAGUCUGCCCUUAA